CCUACGGGAGGCAGCAGUGAGGAAUAUUGGUCAAUGGACGAGAGUCUGAACCAGCCAAGUAGCGUGAAGGAUGACUGCCCUAUGGGUUGUAAACUUCUUUUAUAAAGGAAUAAAACGAGGCACGUGUGCCUUUUUGCAUGUACUUUAUGAAUAAGGAUCGGCUAACUCCGUGCCAGCAGCCGCGGUAAUACGGAGGAUCCGAGCGUUGUCCGGAUUUAUUGGGUUUAAAGGGAGCGUAGAUGGGUUGGUAAGUCAGUUGUGAAAGUUUGCGGCUCAACCGUAAAAUUGCAAUUGAUACUGGCAGUCGUGAGUACAGUUGAGGUAGGCGGAAUGCGUGGUGUAGCGGUGAAAUGCUUAGAUAUCACGAAGAACCCCGAUUGCGAAGGCAGCUUACUAACCUGUGACUGACAUUGAUGCUCGAAAGUGUGGGUAUCAAACAGGAUUAGAUACCCCAGUAGUC
rnacentral:rRNA from 1 species